CAGCAUCCGGUGGCGGUCGAGAAUGGGCCCAGGCGACUAUUCACCCACAACAGAGGUUUCUGCUAAGUCGAAAGACGAUGAAUAGGAGCUGACGCCUGACCGGGGCUGAAAGGUUAAGGGGAUCGGGUAGAGCAAUCGAAGCAGUGAACUUAAGCCCCAGCAAACGGCGGCCUUAACUAUAACGGUCCUAAGGUAGCUAAAUUCCUUGUCGGGUAAGUUCCGACCCGCACGAAAGUCGUAACGAUUUGGGCACUGUCUCAACAACAUACUCUGUGAUAUUCUAAUUCCUGUGAAGAUGCCUGAUUCCUGCGACAGUACGUAUAGACACCAUUGAUCUUUACUGUAGCUUGAUCUUGCGUCUUGGUACUACAUGUACAGGCUAGUUGGGAUCCUUUGCACCCAGUACGCCAGU
rnacentral:rRNA from 1 species